AACAGCUCAGAUUUGGAAUCUGGCUCCGUGAUGGGGUCCGAGUUGUAGUCUGCAGAGGAUGCUUCGGGGGACGAGCGGGUCCAAGUUCCUUGGAAGAGGGUGUCAGAGAGGGUGAGAGCCCCGUCUGUGGCCCGGCUCUGCCGCCCGUGCGAAGCUCCCUCGACGAGUCGAGUUGUUUGGGAAUGCAGCUCAAACCGGGUGGUAAAUCUCAUCUAAAGCUAAAUAUCCGCCGGAGACCGAUAGCGCACAAGUAGAGUGAUCGAAAGAUGAAAAGCACUUUGAAAAGAGAGUUAAACAGCACGUAAAAUUGUUGAAAGGGAAGCGCUCGCGAUCAGACCUGCCUGUGGCCCCUCAGCCGACGGUGAAUGCCGUUGGCCCACUGGGCCGUGGGUAGGCCAGCAUCGAUUUGGGUGGCGGAAGAAGGACCUUGGGAAUGUGGCUCCCUUCGGGGUGCGUUAUAGUCCAAGGUGCGAUGCCGUCCCCUGGAUCGAGGCCUGCGCUCCGGCAAGGAUGCUGGCGUAAUGGUCGCCAGCGACCCGUCUUGAAACACGGACCAAGGAGUCUAACAUCCACGCGAGUGUUUGGGUGUCAAACCCCGACGCGCAAUGAAAGUGAACGGAGGUGGGAACCCGCUCGGGUGCACCAUCGACCGAUCCUGAUGUCUUCGGAUGGAUUUGAGUACGAGCGUGGCUGUUGGGACCCGAAAGAUGGUGAACUAUGCCUGAAUAGGGUGAAGCCAGAGGAAACUCUGGUGGAGGCUCGCAGCGGUUCUGACGUGCAAAUCGAUCGUCAAAUUUGGGUAUAGGGGCGAAAGACUAAUCGAACCAUCGCUGCUAGGUGGUCGGAAGGUGGGGCUGCAUGCCCUGUCUAGUUCCCUGCCUACGGGGGCGAUGCUGCCAAAUUGCGGGGACACCCUGAGAGCUCGGAUGACCGUGGGUCGAUCGUGAGGUCGACGUGCACCGGGGUGAGAGCCCCGGGUGUGGUGAGAGGGUCCGAGAUUGGGCGAUCCGCAGCCAAGCCCCGAGCGUCCUUGGGACGCCGGGGAGAGGUUCACAGACUAGACGGCAGUGGGUGCGACCCGUCGAGGUCGGCCUAAGGUAUAGUCGGACCGCCGGGAGACCGGUCGGGGAGGUGGUGGGUCCCGCGGCCGUGGGCAUACCCUGACGUGCUUGCGCUGGGAGGGCCAUCGGGACCCGGCCUCGCCGGGGGUUCAAGCCACCGAAGGGGGUGGUCGUGCCUGGAGGAGUCGCUAGUAGCUGGUUCCUGCCGAAGUUUCCCUCAGGAUAGCAGUAACGCGUGGCAGUUUUAUGAGGUAAAGCGAAUGAUUAGAGGCCUUGGGGUUGAAACAACCUUAACCUAUUCUCAAACUUUGAAUAUGUAAGAAGUCCUUGUUGCUUGGUUGAACGCGGACAUUCGAAUGUACCGUUACUAGUGGGCCAUUUUUGGUAAGCAGAACUGGCGAUGCGGGAUGAACCGAACGCGGGGUUAAGGUGCCGGAAUGCACGCUCAUCAGACACCACAAAAGGUGUUGGUUCAUCUAGACAGCAGGACGGUGGCCAUGGAAGUCGGAACCCGCUAAGGAGUGUGUAACAACUCACCUGCCGAAUGAACUAGCCCUGAAAAUGGAUGGCGCUCAAGCGUGCUACCCAUACCCCGCCGCCA
rnacentral:ncRNA from 1 species